AUGCCAGUAUUCAAGAGCAAAUCUCACGAGGAGCUUCGACAUGAAGAUUAUAAGAAAGGAGACAAAGGUGGUUUCAACUUACAGGAGAGCAGAGUUCCUUGGGCUUAUCAUUCCUCGCAGCCCCAGCCCCCAGUGAAUGCCUUCACAAAUCCUGUCAAGCCAUCAUUGUUUUCAUACUCUCCUGAGCCAUCCUCAGCACCUGUGGGACUGCAAUCCUCAGCACUACCACCAACCCAUUUUGGUUGCGCCCUCCAGGACCCCAGUCACCAUUAUCUUCAUACACUCCCGAGCCAAUCCACAAGCCAUCAUGGUUUUCAAGCUCCUCUUUUGCACCAUCUACUAUAUGUUGGGCAAAUGUAUCCAAUAACACAGCGGCAUAUACAGCUCCUGCAGAUACAUCUUCUGCUAUAA
rnacentral:rRNA from 1 species